rnacentral:rRNA from 1 species
AUGAGACGGGAGGUCUCGCCGGACAUGGACGGCAAGUGUUUCCGCUGCCUAAAGGAGGGGCAUUUCAAGAACGACUGCACGAGCGACAUCGUCUGCUUCAGAUGCGGCAUGGAGGGGCACCCGUCCGAGGAGUGCAAGCGCCCUCGGAGUCCCUCGUCGGAGGAUGAGCUCCGGCGGCAAGCGCUGGCCAAGGUGGCCCGCAGGGAGCAGGCCGCCCUGAGAGGGCGGGCUGAGCUCUCAAGGUCGCUGACCCCUCCCCCGCCCCCGCCACCGUCGGCUGGUUUGCAGGAUGCGCCGGUGUGGCCACGCCUUCCGCCGCCUUGCGCGCCGCAGCCGGGGGCCUCGGCUGAGGAGUUCGAGUCCGCGGGCGUGUGCGUCGUGCGGCGUGGCAGAUCCAUGGCGGAGCUUGAGCAGCGGCUCCGCUUCGCCAUGGUGGCCUAUGUGGGCGGCGCGCGACAUGACCUUCAGCCGGAGUUCGUUCUUCAAGCUCUUGAGGAGAAGCUUGACAUCUAG